GGUUAAAAAGCUCGUAGUUGGUUCUGCGUGCCACGCUGUCGGUUCACCGCCUGCCGGUGCAACUGGCAUGCCGUGGCAUGUCCUGUCGGUGGCGGAUAGGCUUCGCGGCGUGCCCUAUGCGGUAUACCAGCGUGUAGGUUGCUGCGCCGCGUUGUCCUUGUACGCCGGCUCAAUCCUACCGCGGUGCUCUUUACCGAGUGUCGAGGUAGGCCGACACUGUUUACUUUGAACAAAUUAGAGUGCUUAAAGCAGGCUCUUAAAUCAGCCUGAAUAGUGGUGCAUGGAAUAAUGGAAAAGGACCUUGGUUCUAUUUUGUUGGUUUCCGGAAUCCAAGGUAAUGAUCAAUAAGGACAGGCGGGGGCAUUCGUAUUGCGACGUUAAAGGUGAAAUUCUUGGAUCGUCCCAAGACCCCUAAAACGAAAGAUUUG
rnacentral:rRNA from 1 species